GGGGUUGUGGCUCAGUAGUAGAGCACUUGCCUAGCACAUGCAAGGCCCUGGGUUCAAUCCUCAGCACCACA
rnacentral:tRNA from 1 species